rnacentral:piRNA from 1 species
UAGUGUCCACCAGGACCUGCAGAUAGAU